AGCGGAGUAGAACAACUUGGUAGCUCGCAAGGCUCAUAACCUUGAGUUCACGGGUUCAAAUCCUGGCUAGUAGG
rnacentral:tRNA from 1 species